rnacentral:tRNA from 1 species
GGCGAAGUGGCCGAGUGGUCUAAGGCGCUGGUUUUAGGCACCAGUCUCUUCGGGGGCGUGGGUUCGAAUCCCACCUUCGUCA